rnacentral:rRNA from 1 species
UACGGGGGGAGCAAGCGUUGUUCGGAUUUACUGGGCGUAAAGGGCGCGUAGGCGGCCACCGCAAGUCGACUGUGAAAUCUCCGGGCUUAACCCGGAAAGGUCAGCCGAUACUGCGGGGCUAGAGUGCAGAAGGGGCAACUGGAAUUCUCGGUGUAGCGGUGAAAUGCGUAGAUAUUGGGAGGAACACCGGUGGCGAAGGCGGCCCCCUGGGCUGGUACUGACGCUGAUGCGCGAAAGCGUGGGUAGCAAACGGG